CUGAUGAAUAACAACUGAUUUUACCCUCUGGCAACCAUCCACACAAGGGCACCUGCACUACACACAGACCUGCUUGGACACAUACACUGGUGCACACACAAACAAGAGCCACUUACUGUCAUGCAAGAUCAGGAGACUAGAAGCCAGCUGUUGGUCAUUGACUAUUCUCAAUCCCCAAAGGCUUCCCACAGUUCCUAGUCCUGGACUCCAGUGGAAGUUCCCACAGGUGUGUUCGUUUCUCCCGGACAGCUGGAUUGUGUUCUGACACCUUCUGCAACCAGCUGGAAAACAUUCUUUCAAAGGAUUCUCAAAGUUAAGUCAGACCCAUCAGGAUAGCCUCCUGUCUUAAGACCAACUGAGCCAAACCUUGUGUGAACUCUCAGCUUCCUACUCCUGCAGCCAUGACUCUUAUGCUGGAACUUAACCAAACUUGACAGAAAACUAAUAUACUCCUCAGUUCAAACCGACCACAUGGUGGAGUAUAAAUAAACUGGGAUGAGCCAACUGAAC
rnacentral:lncRNA from 1 species